rnacentral:rRNA from 1 species
UGGGGAAUAUUGGACAAUGGGCGCAAGCCUGAUCCAGCCAUGCCGCGUGUGUGAAGAAGGCCUUUUGGUUGUAAAGCACUUUAAGCGAGGAGGAGGCUACUUGGAUUAAUACUCUAGGAUAGUGGACGUUACUCGCAGAAUAAGCACCGGCUAACUCUGUGCCAGCAGCCGCGGUAAUACAGAGGGUGCGAGCGUUAAUCGGAUUUACUGGGCGUAAAGCGUGCGUAGGCGGCUUCUUAAGUCGGAUGUGAAAUCCCUGAGCUUAACUUAGGAAUUGCAUUCGAUACUGGGAAGCUAGAGUAUGGGAGAGGAUGGUAGAAUUCCAGGUGUAGCGGUGAAAUGCGUAGAGAUCUGGAGGAAUACCGAUGGCGAAGGCAGCCAUCUGGCCUAAUACUGACGAUGAGGUACGAAAGCAUGGGGAGCAAACAGG